AAACCUCAAAACAACGAAAGCCCUACCUCUCUUUCGUCCUUACGGCUCCUAGUCCGCGCCAGUGUGAAUUGAUAAAUACGAAUCUGU
rnacentral:sRNA from 1 species